UGUUUGAAGGGGCAGUGAGUAAUGAUUGCAGUUAUCAAGGUGUCCAGGAGUUUUCCAUAUGUCUGCUUUAAUCACUGCUGGAGGCAGUUUUUUUUUCACCCGUGACACGUCUGUUUUGGGACUGUAAUGAAAACAACGAGGUGCAUCGCUGUAGACUGAUGCAUCCUGUUGCCUUCCCUGUACAUCCCAUAGCUACACCACUGGAGAGUACAACACAUGCAGCAGCAGGAAUGUUUCAUCUACAGAGCUGGAUUUAAAACUAAAAGCUGUUAGCACCCCUUUAAUUAGCUGCAAUGUUUCAUUUUGUAACUAUCUUCUAUCAACAAUCUUUGUAAUACAAAAUAGAAGCCAUGUAGGUUCUGGAUUGAAUAUGUGUGACAUCUUUAAAAAUGAGAUGAAGACAACUAGCUACAGAAAGGUGAGGCAGCCUGGGCUGUGCCCUUGAGAUACAGCUGCUCUGUUCUGAGUGUGUAACAUGGUGCUGCCGCUAGGUGGCAGUCACGUUCCAUUAGUUUGGGAAGAGGACACUAAGACAAAUCAUCUGACCGGCCCUGUAAGGUUUGCUUUAAAGCACUUACAAAUUGUGUACGUAGAGAAUGACAGCAUUGGAACUCACAGCUGCAAAGCUCUGCAAACUACGAUUCCUGGGUGAAUGCUCACAACAUUCUUCAAGAGUUCAGCCUUCUGCACCCUCUUAAGAUGCCUGCUUCAUACCAAGCCGGGCACUGCUGGCUCACCAGAUUGUUUCUCAGGUAGUUUUAGCUGCAGCCCCGCUGCCUGUGUCUAUUUGCAUUCUGAUAGGACACCAGUCAGCAUGACUCACCAAACCUAUUGGCCACUGAUCUGGGCUACUUGCAUGCAAGGAGUUUUGUUUUGUUUCUGAACCUGCUUUAUUCUUUAUUUAAUGAAUGUCCAGAAAGCAGAAGGAAUGUUAACAUCGUCAGGUAUUAUACAUUCACAUGGGGGCAUGUUAGCUUUAGAAAUGUUUAUCUGUAAAACAAUUUGUUUAAGGGCCUUUGAGGUAUCGUACAUGAACACUGCUAGCAUUUUCACAGCUGUUAACCAUCUGAUAUAAUGGCAUUGCUGUAACAUACUUUACUACAUUGUACAUUGUUGUGUUCAAGUGAAAUUAUGAGAGUUGUAAAAAUAAACUCUGACAGACAGUG